UCAAAUUGUAAUUAUAUUUUAGAGUAGUAUUAGAUAUGGUCUUGAAACUUAAAAAAUUUGGCGGUAUUUUAGUCUAUUCAGAGGAACCUGUUCCAUAAUCGAUAAUCCACGUUGGACCUUACUUAAAUUUGUGCAGUUUAUAUACCGUCGUUAUAAAAAACUUUAUUAGAAAAAUAGUUUUUAAUAAUUAAAAUUAUAAUAUAUAUCAGAUCAAGGUGUAGCUAAUGUUUAAGUGGAAAUGGGUUACAAUAAAUUUAUUUAUAUGGAUUUUUUAUUGAAAUUAGAAAUGAAGGUGGAUUUGAAAGUAAAUUUUUAUAGAUAAAAGAAUUGAAAUUAGCUCUAAAGUAUGUAC
rnacentral:rRNA from 1 species